AUGAGGGAUGAAUGAAUACACAGGGAGCAAAGAAAAGGCAGGGGAUCAAGCCAGAAGGAAUCAGUAGCGAAGAAGGGAUUGACAUUGACACUAAUGGGAAGGAGAUACUGCCAUGGUUUCCCAAAAAUGAGACAGAAUGUUUUCUCCUGAGGGGUAUGCGUUGGAAACAGACAAAAGGGAGGACAUGCAACUGUCAGACAAGUACAGAGGGGUGAAGCACAUCUAUGUCAACAAGGAUGCAACGCAGAACAGAAACCUGGAUCAAUAUUCUGUCAGACCCUUUAAUUAUGAGCUCAUUUUGUUGUACUGAUUGAUGGUACAUCUACUACAACUCCCUGUGUAUCCCGCUGAUCCUUGUUUUUCCCAAGAUAAGGCAGCCCAAGCCUUC